rnacentral:rRNA from 1 species
UACGGGGGGGGCAAGCGUUGUUCGGAAUUACUGGGCGUAAAGGGCGCGUAGGCGGUUCGCUAAGUUGAAUGUGAAAACUCUGGGCUUAACCCAGAGCCUGCAUUCAAUACUGGCGGGCUAGAGUUCUGGAGGGGAUAGCGGAAUUCCUGGUGUAGCGGUGAAAUGCGUAGAUAUCAGGAGGAACACCGGUGGCGAAGGCGGCUAUCUGGACAGAGUCUGACGCUGAGGCACGAAAGUGUGGGUAUCAAACAGG